CCGCCACCCUAGACCGUUCACCUCUGCCACCACUGCCUGUUCAACGCGGCCUCGACAACCUGGCGCAUGAACACCCUCUGUCAACUCCAAUGCGACUUUGUUUGUCUCAACUUCAAAACAUGUUCAGUUCAGAACUUGACAUGGAGGGUGUACUGAUGAUACCUAGCCGAAUGAAGCUCUGAGCUAUAUCCUGAGGAAACAAGAGGGAGUGUCAACACUGAUACAGGGAGAUGCACACCAAACCCGCCGCCCGAGGCCGUGUACCAUCGCAGCGCCCCUUCCCCAGCCAUCGUGAGGUCAACCUCCUGGGAUACAUGAAGUUUCAGUUCGUCGAGAGGCUUCUUGGAGUUGCAGAUUGUAUAUUAUGGCAAAGACUCUAUUUCAAUGGGAGGUUCAACCAGAGGAGUUCAAAACACAAGAACUCUAGGAGUUCGCAAAACAAAAUCUACUAUGAGAGUUUGCACUUGUGUGUGCAGUGCAUGUGUUAGGUGUAUGUUUUUUCGGUAUGAUCUGGACACUUAAGAAAGAAAACACAAGGACUCGGUCCAUGUAUAAUUUUCUACUGUUUUUGCACUAAAAUCUUUGGUCUGAAAUGUAUGAGUUUUGUACAAUUUUUGGUUUUGUAUGUUGUAGCUGUAACAUGUGACUUAUAGCACCACUGUUUAUCGGAAGAAAAAUCCAAUUACAGCCUCUGCAGUUA